rnacentral:sRNA from 1 species
CAGGUCGCCUUCAGGAAGGGCGAGGUGGAGAAGUUCUCGAAGCUCGGCAAGGACUACGAGGAGUACAAGGACGUCGCCAUGAAGUACCUGGCUUCGAAGAACGUCACCUUGUCGGAGGCCUCGCCCUUCAGGGCGGGGAGGAUAUGAACAUUUAUAGGCUC